GAUGAAGAACGCAGUGAAAUGCGAUAAGUAAUGUGAAUUGCAGAAUUCAGUGAAUCAUCGAAUCUUUGAACGCACAUUGCGCCCGCCAGUAUUCUGGCGGGCAUCCCUGUCUGAGCGUCAUUUCAACCCUCAAGCAACUUCUGCUUGGUGUUGGGGAUCGGCCGUCAAACGCCGCCCCCGAAAUCUAUUGGCGAUCUCGCUGUAGCUUCCUAUGCGUAGUAGUAACAUCUCGCAUCUGGAGAGCGGCGCGGUCAUGCCGUAAAACACCCAACUUCUCAGGUUGACCUCAGAUCAGGUAGGAAUACCCGCUGAACUUAAGCAUAUCAAUAAGCGGAGGA
rnacentral:misc_RNA from 1 species